GUGAGGCUUGGGCUGUGAGAGGCCUCAGGCUGGGGUGGGGCUUGACCUGGAUGGGGCUGAAGUCUGCUGUGUCUCAAGCCAAUGGGGUGACAUCAUCCUGAUGCCCUCAAGGAAGCCCCAGGGUUGGGCCCAGAGCAGGGACUGUCACCAACGAUGCUCCAAUUUGGUGCUGAUGCUCCCGGUGAAGACAGCAGCAGGAUCCAAGGUCCAGGUUGUUUUUUUAAGACAGAAAGAUGAGCGGCACAGCCGAGUCUUGGAGCAGACUGAGCUGCCUAAGCACGGAGGAGCCACUGGAGAGAAAGCUUGUCCGGUGGCGGCGGUGCCAUCCUCUGGGCCUGCCACUGUUCGGGGAAUGGAAACACCAGCCCAAAGCAAACAAAAUUGACAAGGAAAACCUACUGCUAAAACUCUCCAGAGCCACACGGAUGAGCAUCAGGGACGGCGUUUCCUACUGUGGCCUAGGAGCUCCGGUCCUCACAGUGGGAGAUGCAGGUCAGGGAUGUGGUUAAAGCACAGACUCUAGAGCUCGGCUUCCGGGUCCCAACCCCUGCUCUGGAACACACUAGCCAUGUGACCUUGGCUCUCUCUACCAGGACAUCAGCCCCACGAGUGCAGUGUCAUAGCUUCGUGUCUCCUGCCAAAUUCGUAUGUUGAAGUCCUAACCCCCAGCACCCCAGGAUGUGACCAUUUGGGAGAAAGGAUCUUUACAGAGGUAAGCAUGUUAAAGUGAGGCCAUUUGAACCUGAUCCAAUAUGACUGGUGUCCUUAGGAAGACGGGAAAUUAGAAGACAGACAGACACAGGCACUGGGGGAAUGCCAUGUGCAGAUUGCGGUGAUGCUGCCGUGAGCCGAGGAACCACCGGGAGCUGGGGAGAGGCUUGGCACAGAUCCUCCCUCACAGCCCUCGGAAGGAACCAGCCCUACUGACACCCUCAUCUUGAACUUCCAGCCUCCACAAC